CUGAAUAAUUUCAUUCUCUUUCGGAGAUCUGUCCAGUAAACAUCUAAAUUUGUUGUUUUGUCUCGAUUUGUUAUUUGUCCGGUUCAAUCAUCUACAAAUUCGUCAUGUGCUGUGGACCUUGUGGAGUGUGCUGCGGACCCUGCGGUCGUUGCUGUGGUCCUUGCACACCAUGCUGCGUACCCUACUGUGCCCCCUGCUGCACUCCAUGCUGCUCGCCCUGCUGUUCACCUUUCUGCAGUCCUUGCUGCAGUCCCUGCUGUGGCGGCUGCUGGUGCUAAAGGGAGCCGUAACUUGCAACCAAGCCCCCCCUCCCAUAACCAUGUCCAUUCCACUCAAGCCAUGACUGUUCCAACACCUGGAUAGACUUGACCGCAAAUAAUGAUUCAAGAUAGUGCAACAAUAAAAAAAAUUAAACCAUA